UACGAAGGGGGCUAGCGUUGCUCGGAAUUACUGGGCGUAAAGCGCACGUAGGCGGCUUUCUAAGUCGGAGGUGAAAUCCUGGAGCUCAACUCCAGAACUGCCUUCGAUACUGGAGAGCUUGAGUCCGGGAGAGGUGAGUGGAACUGCGAGUGUAGAAGUGAAAUUCGUAGAUAUUCGCAAGAACACCAGUGGCGAAGGCGGCCAACUGGUCCGGUACUGACGCUGAGGUGCGAAAGCGUGGGGAGCAAACAGG
rnacentral:rRNA from 1 species